rnacentral:misc_RNA from 1 species
GAUGAAGAACGUAGCGAAAUGCGAUACGUAAUGUGAAUUGCAGAAUUCAGUGAAUCAUCGAGUCUUUGAACGCACAUUGCGCCCCCUGGUAUUCCGGGGGGCAUGCCUGUCCGAGCGUCAUUGCUGCCCUCAAGCACGGCUUGUGUGUUGGGCCUCCGUCCUCCUCCCGGGGGACGGGCCCGAAAGGCAGCGGCGGCACCGCGUCCGGUCCUCGAGCGUAUGGGGCUUCGUCACCCGCUCUUGUAGGCCCGGCCGGCGCUUGCCGACACAUCAAUCUUUUUUCCAGGUUGACCUCGGAUCAGGUAGGGAUACCCGCUGAACUUAAGCAUAUCAGCGGAGGA